AGAGUUUGAUCCUGGCUCAGGACGAACGCUGGCGGCGUGCCUAACACAUGCAAGUCGAACGGAGAAUUUCAAGAUGUUUACAUGGCGAAAUUCUUAGUGGCGGACGGGUGAGUAACGCGUGGGUAACCUACCCAUAAAGCCGGGACAACCCUUGGAAACGAGGGCUAAUACCGGAUAAUCUUAAGUUUUGGCAUCAGAAUUUAAGGAAAGAUGGCCUCUGAAUAUGCUAUCGAUUAUGGAUGGACCCGCGUCUGAUUAGCUAGUUGGUGGGGUAAAGGCCUACCAAGGCGACGAUCAGUAGCCGGCCUGAGAGGGUGAACGGCCACACUGGGACUGAGACACGGCCCAGACUCCUACGGGAGGCAGCAGUGGGGAAUCUUCCGCAAUGGACGAAAGUCUGACGGAGCAACGCCGCGUGUAUGAUGAAGGUCUUCGGAUUGUAAAGUACUGUCUUUGGGGAAGAAC
rnacentral:rRNA from 1 species